rnacentral:rRNA from 1 species
UUAGCUAGUUGGUGAGGUAAAGGCUCACCAAGGCGACGAUCAGUAGCUGGUCUGAGAGGAUGAUCAGCCACAUUGGGACUGAGACACGGCCCAAACUCCUACGGGAGGCAGCAGUGGGGAAUCUUGCGCAAUGGGCGAAAGCCUGACGCAGCCAUGCCGCGUGAAUGAUGAAGGUCUUAGGAUUGUAAAAUUCUUUCACCGGGGACGAUAAUGACGGUACCCGGAGAAGAAGCCCCGGCUAACUUCGUGCCAGCAGCCGCGGUAAUACGAAGGGGGCUAGCGUUGCUCGGAAUUACUGGGCGUAAAGGGAGCGUAGGCGGACAUUUAAGUCAGGGGUGAAAUCCCGGGGCUCAACCUCGGAAUUGCCUUUGAUACUGGGUGUCUUGAGUGUGAGAGAGGUAUGUGGAACUCCGAGUGUAGAGGUGAAAUUCGUAGAUAUUCGGAAGAACACCAGUGGCGAAGGCGACAUACUGGCUCAUUACUGACGCUGAGGCUCGAAAGCGUGGGGAGCAAACAGGAUUAGAUACCCUGGUAGUCCACGCCGUAAACGAUGAUUGCUAGUUGUCGGGAUGCAUGCAUUUCGGUG